rnacentral:lncRNA from 1 species
CUCUAGUUUUAUUCCUGUGGCAUGGUCAGAGGAUGUACAUGAUGACUUCAAUUUGUUGCACUCUCUGUGUCACCUUGUGUGUGGUCUGUCUCUGUGUUCGGAGGGCACUUGGAAAGGCAUAGGCUGCCGAUGUUGGGUGGAGUAAUGUAUUCUAUAAAAGCCAGUUGUUCUGUCCUUGCCAAUUUCUGUCUAGUUUGAACAAUGUUUGAGAGGGGCACUGAAAUCUCCAAACUGUAAUUGUGAAUGUAUCUGUUUCUCUUUUCUCAGUUUCACUUUAUGUAUUUUAUAACUAUCUUAUCUGGUACAUAUACAUUUAAAAUGUCUAGGCCUUCUUGGUGAUUUUUACCCUUUUAGAAUUAUAUAUUGUCCUUUACUGUCCCUAGAAGUUUUCUUUGCUCUGGGAUAUACUUCUUGAUAUUUUGACCAAUGUCUGCAUAAUAUACAAUUUUUCAUCCCUUUACUUUUGGGUUUUUUUUCUUUUCUUUUUUCUUUUUUUUUUGACAGGCUCUCCUAGGUAUUCCAGGCUGGCCUCAAUCUCACAGCAAUCCUCCAGCAUCAGCCUCCCUAGUGUUGGGAUUAUAGGUGUGCCCCACCACGCCCAGCUUUUCUAUUCCUCUUAUGUAAAUACCAGAGUGGAAUUUCUGGGCCAUAUCAAAGUACUUUCUUCUUUUUCUUUUCUUUCCUUCUUUCCAGGGCCUUGUGCGGGCUAAGCAGGCGCUGUACCAUUGAACUCCACCCACCUGUAAAUGUUGUAAUGAACCUCCAGCCCUGGGCAGUAGAUGUGGACUUCCCUAACCCACCCCCUUCUCCAACUGUUGAUGACAAUCGCUUCCAUUUUAGUCACUCCACUUGAACGGCAGGAUCUCAUUGGAGCUUUUAAUUUUCAUUAACAGCUGCCUGGAACAUACAUGUGAUGGCUGGAGUGCUGGCAUCCAUCUUAACAAUGAAGUGGACAUAGGACUAAAAGGCCCAAGACUGAAGGAGCUUGAGACAUCGUGAAGAUACAGCCACAAAACUGUCUACUUUCAUACUUCUUGUACAUGAGACAGAAAUAAACUUCUAUCUUGUAUUAGCCUAUAUUAUUCAGGACUAUUCCUCAC